CCUACGGGAGACAGCAGUGAGGAAUAUUGGUCAAUGGACGAGAGUCUGAACCAGCCAAGUAGCGUGAAGGAUGACUGCCCUAUGGGUUGUAAACUUCUUUUAUAUGGGAAUAAAAUGUUCCACGUGUGGGAUUUUGUAUGUACCAUAUGAAUAAGGAUCGGCUAACUCCGUGCCAGCAGCCGCGGUAAUACGGAGGAUCCGAGCGUUAUCCGGAUUUAUUGGGUUUAAAGGGAGCGUAGGUGGAUUGUUAAGUCAGUUGUGAAAGUUUGCGGCUCAACCGUAAAAUUGCAGUUGAAACUGGCAGUCUUGAGUACAGUAGAGGCGGGCGGAAUUCGUGGUGUAGCGGUGAAAUGCUUAGAUAUCACGAAGAACUCCGAUUGCGAAGGCAGUUCACUGGACUGCAACUGACACUGAGGCUCGAAAGUGUGGGUAUCAAACAGGAUUAGAUACCCGUGUAGUC
rnacentral:rRNA from 1 species